UCCUUCGAAUUCAUUUACAUCGGGCUUUACUUAAUAUGUUUGAUAAAAAAAUAAUUUGUCCUCAAUAUACUUUAAUCUUAUUUACUAUUAAUGCCUGUUUUAAUUACCUGCUGUGAUAAAUAUUUACACAAAAAAUUAAAAAGGUACAUUUAAAGUCGAUAAGAAACUUUUUCAGUCGUAUAUAUAACGCGAAGCGCUACGGUAUUUUUAUUUAAUAUCAAACACAUCUUACUUACAAGUACGUUCAUAGAACAAUAUGAAAUUUUUAACUUUUUCCUUAAUUGUGGUCAUAGCGGUUAUGUCUCUCUCGUACUCAGUCAAUGGUCAAUCAGCUAAAUGUACCGAAGAUGAUCUGAAGAUUAAUUGUUUGUGGUGCUUUUACACCUGUUCCGAAGGUAAAACUCUUGUGGCCAACGAAUGCAAUUGCUGUCUUAAUGAGUGUGUCUCGGUUACAGAUUCAGAGUCUAAAUAGAAACCAAUAGGUGGAUCAAGAGGGAUAAAAGGAAUCUUCACAUAACUACACCAAUAUAAAAUGUUCAUUUUAUUAGAAUAAAGUAAUUGUUUACUAGUUGAAUUAA